rnacentral:rRNA from 1 species
UACGUAGGUGGCGAGCGUUAUCCGGAUUUAUUGGGCGUAAAGCGUCCGCAGCCGGUUUAUUAAGUCUAAGAUUAAAGCCCGAGGCUCAACCUCGGUUCGUUUCAGAAACUGGCAGACUUGAGUGUGGUAGAGGCAAGUGGAAUUUCUAGUGUAGCGGUUAAAUGCGUAGAUAUUAGAAGGAACACCAGUGGCGAAGGCGGCUUGCUGGGCCAUUACUGACGCUGAGACACGAAAGCGUGGGGAGCAAACAGG